GUGAAAACCCACAAGGGCGCUUUCUGCAAAAUAAGAAGAAAGUCGAGAACAGGAAGGAAAUCCGGAAAGUGAGUAAGAAAUGGGAAGUGAUGGGUUUAAGUCUUGCGACUCGUCCUCCAUUAAUCAUUUGUCUUCGGAAUUCUGUUAAGUACACUUCGCCGAGGAAGAACUUCUCGUGCCAGCUGGUAGCAGCCACUGUGAGUCU
rnacentral:misc_RNA from 1 species